rnacentral:rRNA from 1 species
GACGAACGCUGGCGGCGCGCUUAACACAUGCAAGUCGAACGGAAAGGCCUGCUUUCCCUUGUGGAUUGCGGGUACUCGAGUGGCGAACGGGUGAGUAACACGUGAGUGAUCUGCCCCCAACUUGGGUAUAAGCCUGGGAAACUGGGUCUAAUUCCCGAUAGGACUGCAGGGUGGUGCCGGUGGUGGAAAACGAUUUUCUAGUGGUGGGGGAUGAGCUCGCGGCCUGUCAGCUUGUUGGUGGGGUAGGGGCCUACCAGGGCGGCGACGGGUAGCCGGCCUGGGAGGUGGGCAGGCGAAAUCGGGCCUGAUAUAGGGCGGAGACUCCGGGGGGAGGCAUCAGUGGGGGGGAUGGCACAAUGGGCGGAAGCCUGAUGGGGGGACGCCGGGUGCGGGGUGACGGACUUCGGGUUGUAGGCGGGGAUCCCCUGUGGUGGAGAGGGUGUGACGGUAAUGGGUAAAGAAGCACCGGCUAACUACGUG